rnacentral:rRNA from 1 species
GACGAACCGUGCGAACGUUAUUCGGAAUCACUGGGCUUAAAGCGCGUGUAGGCGGAUGGGAACGUCGGUUGUUGAAGGCCCCCGGCUCAACCGGGGAAUGGGCGCCGAAACGACCCGUCUGGAGGGACGUAGGGGGACCUGGAACUUCCGGUGGAGCGGUGAAAUGCGUUGAGAUCGGAAGGAACGCCCGUGGCGAAAGCGAGGUCCUGGACGUCUUCUGACGCUGAGACGCGAAAGCUAGGGUAGCGAACGGG